rnacentral:tRNA from 1 species
GAGGGUAUAGCUCAGUGGUAGAACACAAUGCUUAGAAUGUACAAGGUCCUGGGUUCAAUCCCCAAUACCUCCA